AGAACGAACGCUUGCGGCGCGCCUAAUACAUGCAAGUCGAACGAGGUAGCAAUACCAAGUGGCGCACGGGUGAGUAACGCGUGGAUAAUCUGCCUACCAGUGGGGAAUAACUAACCGAAAGGUUAGCUAAUACCGCAUAAGGCCACAAGAUCUGCGGAUCAAGGGGCUAAAGAUUUAUCGCUGGUAGAUGAGUCUGCGUGGGAUUAGCUAGUUGGUGGGGUAACGGCCUACCAAGGCAACGAUCUCUAACAGAUCUGAGAGGAUGAUCUGUCACACUGGAACUGAGACACGGUCCAGACUCCUACGGGAGGCAGCAGUAGGGAAUAUUGCGCAAUGGGCGAAAGCCUGACGCAGCGACGCCGCGUGAGUGAUGAAGGCCUUAGGGUCGUAAAGCUCUGUUGAAUAGGGAAGAAAAAUGACGGUACCAUUCGAGAAAGGACCGGCUAACUUCGCGCCAGCAGCCGCGGU
rnacentral:rRNA from 1 species